UAAAGAUCCGUCGGAUGAGGAUAGGCUCGCGUGACAUUAGCUUGACGGCGGGGUAACGGCCCACCGUGGCGACGAUGUCUAGGGGUUCUGAGAGGAAGGUCCCCCACACUGGAACUGAGACACGGUCCAGACUCCUACGGGAGGCAGCAGUGAGGAAUAUUGGUCAAUGGCCGGAAGGCUGAACCAGCCAUGCCGCGUGAAGGUCAGUGCCCUAUGGGCGUUAAACUUCUUUUGUGCGGGAGCAAUAAGGUCCACGUGUGGGCCGACGAGAGUACCGUACGAAUAAGCAUCGGCUAACUCCGUGCCAGCAGCCGCGGUAAUACGGGGGAUGCAAGCGUUAUCCGGAUUUAUUGGGUUUAAAGGGUGCGUAGGCUGUAAGGUAAGUCAGCGGUGAAGUGCCCCCGCUCAACGGGGUGAAGUGCCAUUGAUACUGCCUUGCUGGAAUGCGGAUGCCGUGGGAGGAAUGUGUGGUGUAGCGGUGAAAUGCAUAGAUAUCACACAGAACACCGAUUGCGAAGGCAUCUCACGAAUCCGCGAUUGACGCUGAUGCACGAAAGCGUGGGUAUCAAACAGGAUUAGAUACCCUGGUAGUCCACGCUGUAAACGAUGAUGACUAACCGUCGGCGAUACACAGUCG
rnacentral:rRNA from 1 species